GAACUGAAUCCAUCUGGCCGUUCCAGCCCACGAGCACUUCCUCGUGCACUACCGUCUCCUCACCUCCACAUCACCAGGCGCAGCAGACCCGUCUAGGGCUCUCCCGCCGCCGUCCGACGCCGGGGCUCUCCGCCGCUGGGUUGUGGUGCUGUCGGCUUCGUUUCUCGAUGGAUAAUAGCGCCGGCCUCCUCCUUCCAGAUAUCGUCAUCCUGGCGGACCUGUCGUGUGCGUCGCCCGCUGCUUCACACACCAGCGCCGCCACCUUGCUGUCGUCCCGGCGAGCGUCUCGACAGCCGCCGGUUGCCUCUUCAUUCUGCCUCCGCGCCUGGUUGCCCAACGCCUUCCCCUGCUUCCGUGACGUCGUCUCCAAUAUUGCAAAGCCCAUCUACUCCAAAUGUCUGCUGAGCAUCUUCUUCAGUUAGCCAAAAUCAAUCGCUUGGUCUAGUUCCAGUUUGUGCUUACUAUCCAAUACUAAUUUCUAAGAGGCUACAUCUCAAGCAGGUCUGAAAUAAAGUUGUGAAGAAGCCAUCGUAAUAUCGUUUGUCGGGACCUACUUCAGGUUUUGGGGGAGGUAGAGAAUGUGAUGUUUGGCGAAAUCAGGGCAGCAGCAACCGUUCCAAGGUGUAAAUGGCAGGUCCUCUGCCUUUGCAUUAUAGAUUAGGGUUGUACAAGAAGGAGAACAAGCAGUAGAGAGAAGAGCAUAAGCAGGAGCAAAAGAAAACGAAGAAGCAGUCAUCCAAGGCGCUGUACAUGCAUGUUCAGCUUUGUACUACAUUCAGCGUGUUCAGCUGCAGGUCAUUGAAAAAUUCAAGUAAUUGAGUUUGCUUACUAAGAGAUGAUUACUCACCUUCCUCUUUGCUUAUUUAAAGAUCCCAGGAAGGUAGCACAUUUUAUAAUAAUAAGGAAGUCCUAUGAAAGGAGACAAUGAUGAACACACCUGAUGGCUCGUUGUCUUUGCUGUCAGCGCUGAUGCCGGCGAGGCGACGUGUUGAUGGCUCGUUGCUUUUGGUUUCUAAGUGGCGAUAUCGACGUGGCGACGUGCAAAGCUGAGUUGCUAAGCACCUUAUUUGACCGAAGACCUGAGAUACAUUAAGGGUGCUGUACAUGUGUAUUUAUAAAUAGGAUCAGACUUGGAUCCAGAUUCCUGUAGCUAGUAGGAUUGGUCAGGCUCCUCUUAGUUUUUUUUUGACAAAACUCGUUUAUAAUCUAUAUAAAAGAUAGUGUUCCUUU